rnacentral:rRNA from 1 species
GAACUCCGAUUGCGAAGGCAGCGUACCGGCGCCACACUGACGCUGAGGCACGAAAGCGUGGGGAUCGAACAGGAUUAGAUACCCUGGUAGUCCACGCAGUAAACGAUGAAUGCUGGUUGUCCGGGUCGAAUGAGAUCUGGGCGGCGAAGCGAAAGCGAUAAGCAUUCCACCUGGGGAGUACGCCGGCAACGGUGAAACUCAAAGGAAUUGACGGGGGCCCGCACAAGCGGAGGAACAUGUGGUUUAAUUCGAUGAUACGCGAGGAACCUUACCCGGGCUCAAACGGGAGCGGAAUGGACCAGAGACGGUUCAGCCUACGGGCCGCUUCCGAGGUGCUGCAUGGUUGUCGUCAGCUCGUGCCGUGAGGUGUCGGCUUAAGUGCCAUAACGAGCGCAACCCCCGCCGGCAGUUGCUAACGGGCAAUGCCGAGGACUCUGCCGGGACUGCCGCCGCAAGGCGAGAGGAAGGCGGGGAUGACGUCAAAUCAGCACGGCCCUUACGUCCGGGGCGACACACGUGUUACAAUGGGCGGUACAGCGGGAAGCCAGGCGGCGACGCCGAGCGGAACCCGAAAGCCGUUCUCAGUUCGGAUCGGAGUCUGCAACCCGACUCCGUGAAGCUGGAUUCGCUAGUAAUCGCGCAUCAGCCAUGGCGCGGUGAAUACGUUCCCGGGCCUUGUACACACCGCCCGUCAAGCCAUGGGAGCCGGGGGUGCUUGAAGUGCGUCGCCGCGAGGCGCGCCCUAGAGCAAAACCGGUGACUGGGGCUAAGUCGUAACAAGGUAACCGUAA